ensembl:rRNA 5S_rRNA 5S ribosomal RNA
GUCUAUGGCCAAUGCCACCCUGAAUGUGCCCAAUCUCAUCUGAUCUUUGAAGCUAAGCAAGGUCGAGCCUGAUUAGUACUUAGAUGGGAAACCACCUAGGAAUAUUAGGUGCUAUAGGCA